UUAAUUGAAGAGUUUGAUCAUGGCUCAGAUUGAACGCUGGCGGCAGGCCUAACACAUGCAAGUCGAGCGGCAGCACAAGUAAGUUUACUUAUGAGGUGGCGAGCGGCGGACGGGUGAGUAAUGCCUAGGGAUCUGCCCAGUCGAGGGGGAUAACAGUUGGAAACGACUGCUAAUACCGCAUACGCCCUACGGGGGAAAGAGGGGGACCUUCGGGCCUCUCGCGAUUGGAUGAACCUAGGUGGGAUUAGCUAGUUGGUGAGGUAAUGGCUCACCAAGGCGACGAUCCCUAGCUGUUCUGAGAGGAUGAUCAGCCACACUGGGACUGAGACACGGCCCAGACUCCUACGGGAGGCAGCAGUGGGGAAUAUUGCACAAUGGGGGAAACCCUGAUGCAGCCAUGCCGCGUGUGUGAAGAAGGCCUUCGGGUUGUAAAGCACUUUCAGUAGGGAGGAAAGGGUGAGUCUUAAUA
rnacentral:rRNA from 1 species